AUACGACUCUCGGCAACGGAUAUCUCGGCUCUCGCAUCGAUGAAGAACGUAGCGAAAUGCGAUACUUGGUGUGAAUUGCAGAAUCCCGUGAACCAUCGAGUCUUUGAACGCAAGUUGCGCCCGAAGCCGUCAGGCUGAGGGCACGUCUGCCUGGGCGUCACGC
rnacentral:rRNA from 1 species